AUUGAACGCUGGCGGCAGGCUUUACACAUGCAAGUCGAACGGUAACAGGCCUUCGGGUGCUGACGUGAGGGGAAGGGGGGAGUAAAGCACCUGAACGUAUCCCGGGGAGGGGGGGAACGCAGCGGAAGAUGGGCGAAAACACCACGUGAGCCGAGGGGGAAAGCGGGGGGGCGAGCAGGAAUGUUUGGCCUCGGGUCAGCGGAGGUGCGUAUGUCGGAUUAGCUAGUUGGUGGGGUAAAGGCCUACCAAGGCGACGAUCCGUAGCUGGUCUGAGAGGACGACCAGCCACACUGGAACUGAGACACGGCCCAGACUCCUACGGGAGGCAGCAGUGGGGAAUUUUGGACAAUGGGCGCAAGCCUGAUCCAGCCAUGCCGCGUGCGUGAAGAAGGCCUUCGGGUUGUAAACCGCUUUUGGCAGGAACGAAGCGGUGUCCGCUAAUACCGGGCUCUAAUGACGUUACCUGCAGAAUAAGCACCGGCUAACUACGUG
rnacentral:rRNA from 1 species